GUGCUUGUUGGUGCAGCACAUACACUAAAAUUGGAAUGAUACAGAGAUCAGCAUGGCCCCUGCGCAAGGAUGACAUGCAAAUUCAUGAAGUGUUCCAUAUUAAC